GACGAGCCUUUGACUCUUCAACGAAAGAAAGUAGAUUAAAACCGGAGAACUGGGAAGCAGCACAUAUGAAACCACAUGCUUAACACCUUCCCAGAAAUGCUCUUUCAGAUUAAUUUCAGUCACCAAUGAUGGUCGGCUCUGGAUCCUGUUACCGAGCUCUGUGUGCCCAUUCAGCCCCCUGCGUGGGGCUGCUGACAGCAAACAGGAAAACCCAGCAAUGAGCAAUUGGCAACAUGCAGAGACACAGAGAGAGUUGCUGCAGUUUUACUUUUAAAGUAACUCUAUUUGAUUAGAAAAAUGUGCUCUAUGUGGAGUUUUGCUGGCACCAGAAGGCUGGACUAAACAUGUUAUUAUCUGUGCAUUACCCUCUCCAACGUUUUAGUUGACACAACUCUUCAAUUCUUUACCUGCUUUCAAACAAGUAAUCAACAAAUCCAAUUGGAUUCCCCUUGCACAUAUAAUUUAGCUUCAUCAUUAUCUGGUGUGUAGAGGCAGGUCAGGGCGGGAUGUCCAAACCUUUUGUACUUUUACAGGGAGGAUAACGUGUAGAAGUACUUGGUCCUGCACACAGGCAUUCUUCAGGGGCAACCUUUGAUGGAGACUUUCAGUGUAAAGUUACCAAAGAAAGAAAAUUUAAAUACUCUUUCAGUUUAAAAUAUUUCAGAAAUAGAGCACACUUUACAGUAUCAAGUUUAGUGUUUUCCAAUGGAAUAUAUUGUUGUGAUGGACGAACUUCCUUAGUAAGAUUAAAAAAAUAGUAGUUAAUAUAUAAAUGCCUGCAAGUUAUACAUGAUGUAUUGUUGAGUAUUAUAACUGAGCAAACAUGUUGCAUUUGUUUAUGGUAAACAGAAUCAGUUAUAAUCAAAAGCCUAUUGCAUUUAGAAAACAGAGACCCAUUUCAUAGGAAAUGGAUUUAAGAUUGUGUUGAAGUUCUGCAUCCCGGUGUCGUCCUCUGGCUGAACCCAUGACGGUCCUGCAGAGGAUAGUGAGGGGAGCUGAACGGACCAUUAGUGUCCCUGCAUCUGUCCAGAGGUGCAGCAGGAACAGGGUUAUGAACACUCUCAGACUUUUCAUAACAUCCCCAUGAUGACGAGGCAAACGAUACCUGAAAACAUUCUGCCUCAUGAUGCUAAACUUAAACACAGUUAGAGCAAACAUCAGGGCCAUGGCGAACGGAUUUAGUCUCCCUUCUCCACACCGGGAUCAGAGGCUUGAGCUUUCAGACUCUGACACAUAUAAUUAAUUUGUUAGUUAAUCUCUGCUCCAGGUUAUUGCUUCUGAAAAGGCGUCUAACAUCAGCGUUGAGUCCUUUGAUUCCCGGCGGGUCUUCCAAUGACCACCUGUUGCACCUCGGCGUGACGCGGAGCAGCAACCGUCUGGAUGAUUUGUGACGUUGAACCUGACUGUCGUUUUCAUUGCUUCCUGUUUCCCUGCGCUGAUCACCCAAAGUCACACAGUACACACCUACACACACACACACACACACUGCCACGGACCAUUGGUCACUCCUGUCGCUGGUCCGCCUCCACGCUGUGCGCUAUAUAAAGGCAGACCACGCCAAAGGAGUGAAGUUACACAAACCGGCCCUUUAAACUCCCUGCCUGUCAGAUAAGACUGACCCUCUGCUCUCAAUAUUUGUAAAACUAAACAGAGAGGAGUUUUGGGAGGAUUUCAGAAGAGUUUGCAAACAACUUCCUGUUUUUCUCCGUGCCGCGGUCGUCAGCAGAGGCCGAUGGAUUUGUCAGACUUUCCGUUCUCUCUGUCGUCAGCGGAUGACCUCUACGACCCCAGCUUCAACACCAGCGAUCUGAACUUUUUUGAUGAUUUGGACGCCCGGCUGACACACGGCGGGCUGCUGAAGUCAGAGGACCAUCUUCAUCACCACGUGCCAACAGCAGAGGAGGAGGACCAGCAUGUGAGGGCCCCUGGGGGCCUCCACCAGGGGGGCCACUGCCUCCUGUGGGCCUGCAAGGCCUGCAAGCGGAAGACGACGCACGCAGACAGGAGGAAAGCAGCGACGCUGCGAGAGAGACGGCGGCUCAGCAAGGUGAACGAUGCCUUCGAGACGCUGAAGCGCUGCACGGCCUCCAACCCAAACCAGCGGCUGCCCAAAGUGGAGAUCCUGCGAAACGCGAUCAGUUACAUCGAGUCUCUGCAGGCGCUGCUGCGGGCCGGCCAGAACGACGGCUUCUACCCGCAGCUGGAGCACUACGGCGGGGAGUCGGACUCCUCCAGCCCCCACUCCAACUGCUCCGACAGCACGAUGGAUUUCAUCUCUCCGUGUUCUGCCAGUAGUGAAAACGGCAACUCUUCAUAUGGCAAACAAACAGCAGAUGGUUGCGGCAGCAGCAAAACGUCGCUCAUUUCCAGCCUGGAUUGCUUGUCCAGCAUCGUUGAACGCAUCAGCACAGACCGAGCGGUGGCCCCCGCUGGAGACAGCGUGGUCCCCCAGGGCGCUGAAUCCCCUCACAGCAGCUCUGCUGUCUCCUCUUCUCCUGCUGACCCCAGCAGCAUCUAUGAGCCGAUAUCAUCCUGAUGGAGCCAACAACGUCCCUAACCACACAGACAGAAAGAUUGCCUCCAUUUUUAAGGAGGAGGACACUAAAUUAUUCCAGAUUUCUGAAGAGUCCCGGAGAGGAGCUUUUUCACGUGAUUCCUGCUGAUAAGAACUGAGGACCAUUAAUACAUCUGACUAUUCAUGCUAUGUCAGAAAAAAAAACAACAACACAUUGAAACUGUUGGUGUAAAUGUUUGUAUAAUAUUUAAGAUCUGAUGAAAUCUUAAUAAACACAUAUUUAUAUUGUGA